AAUCCAAGUGGAAACACAGGAGUGGCCUUCGGCGCCGUCGACCCAGCACGGUUAAGGUGGGCACUCUAAGGAGACUGCCGGUGACAAACCGGAGGAAGGUGGGGAUGACGUCAAGUCAUCAUCGGCCCUUACGGCCGUGGGCUACACACGUGCUAACAAUGGUCGGUAACGAAAGGGUUGCCAAGCCGCGAGGUGGAGCUAAUCCCAUAAACCGAUCGUAGUCCGGAUCGCAGUCUGCAACUCGACUGCGUGAAGUCGGAAUCG
rnacentral:rRNA from 1 species